GACAGAGGUUGCAAGCGUUGUUCGGAAUUACUGGGCAUAAAGCGCACGUAGGCGGUCCGCUAAGUCAUGUGUGAAAUCCCCCGGCUCAACCGGGGAAUGGCGCCUGAUACUGUCGGACUCGAGAUCGGUAGGGGUGAGUGGAACUCCAGGUGGAGCGGUGAAAUGCGUAGAUAUCUGGAGGAACACCGGAGGCGAAAGCGACUCACUGGACCGACACUGACGCUGAGGUGCGAAAGCUAGGGUAGCAAACGGG
rnacentral:rRNA from 1 species